rnacentral:rRNA from 1 species
CAGCAGCCACGGGAAUACGGAGGGUGCAAGCGUUAAUCGGAAUUACUGGGCGUAAAGCGCACGCAGGCGGUCUGUCAAGUCAGAUGUGAAAUCCCCGGGCUUAACCUGGGAACUGCAUUUGAAACUGGCAGGCUAGAGUCUUGUAGAGGGGGGUAGAAUUCCAGGUGUAGCGGUGAGAUGCGUAGAGAUCUGGAGGAAUACCGGUGGCGAAGGCGGCCCCCUGGACAAAGACUGACGCUCAGGUGCGAAAGCGUGGGGAGCAAACAGGAUUAGAUACCCCGGUAGUCCCUGUCUCUUAUAC